CAACGAUCUGUCCUCAGCCCCAAAUUGUGUAAACAGAAAAAGGAACUCUGUUGGUUGCUGCUUAGUUAUUUUCCAGGCAGACACACACUUUUCAGUAGCGGCUUGGCCAGGCUGCCUUCUGGAUUAAGGAUGCGUCCUUUCUUUGCUGGGUGCAGGAAAUCCAACCGGUAGAGCCCAGCCUCAUCAGCCUGUCUUCCUUGGCGACUGUGGAAGAGCCCAGCCUCCUUCCCCCUCCUGGCUCUCACUGUCCGAGACGCAACUCUGACCGUGGAAAUCCCAUCCGCGUUGCCAACCGAUUCCUGGUCCAGGACCCUCCUCUUUGGCUCAACUGGCAGGCAGCGCGCAAGUUCGGGAGGCUGUGGAGACACAAAGUCCGGCUGCACCGGUUCCAGGAGGCCCGGGACGCACGGCAGCUGGUGAAGGCCUGGCUGCUUUGGAAAGACGCCUGCAGAACCGAGCUGGUGGUGCGAGCCUUGAGAUGGCAGAGAUGGGCGCAGUGGGGCUGGAGAAUAUGGAGGCAGCGCUGCCUACGGCUUCAGGUGGCCCAGCAUUUCCGCGAAGCUGAAGAGGAACGAUUGCUCAGCACGGCUUUUGGAAAGUGGCGCCGGCUGGCGGCAGCCUCUCGUGCCCAGGCUGAGUAAACGCUUGGCCGGAUCCCUCUUCUCGUAACCAGCUGCAGGCAGGCAGACGCAGGAAGAGGGUGCACGGGAGGCAGCCUGUCGAAAAAACUGGACUUUGCACCCCAAACACUGCCAGCAGUUUAUAUCCGGUGGCCACAUUUUGGAAGCGGGGAGGCAGACGAGGAAUUGCGCCAUGCCCACGUGGCUUGUUUGUUU